GCAUGCUCAGGCAGGAGGUUGGGUCUUAAUCUGCAAGCUCCAGCAGGGGGGAUUAGUGCCCACGGCUCUGCAGCACUCCGCGGUCACGAACGCGAUUGUGGCUUUUUAUUGAGACGAAGACACUGCUGUUUCUGUCUCAAAAUAGAAAAUUCAGCUCUUCAUGGCGGGUUUCCAGGUACGUACCCCCGGGCCCUGAUCUCUCAUGGGGCCCCCCAGCCGGAGCUGCUGUCUAGGAAUGAUUCUGCCCGUCACCAGGCUCCACAGCCAACAGCAUCACUCCCAGCACUGCUGAUGGCGAUGGAGCCUGGGGAGAAGUGAAAUCGUCCUUCAGCGGGCUACAUACUGAUUUGUCCUGAAGCCUGGCAGCCAGCAGCAGCAGCAUUGUCCUCUCCUCCUCCUCCCCAAGCAGGAAUGGCACCUCCUCCUCCCCUCACAUGCUUGUAGUCAGGGUGACCGGCCAGGCUCCACGGCACCUCUCAGGGUCGUAGGCAGAGAGGUAUGGUUGCUGCCCUAGUCCGUCAGACUCAGCCGCCACCGGUUGUUGCAAGAUAAAUUACUGUGAGUGGGUGCUGCUAUGAUGCGUUAAUCGGUCACGGCUGCCCCAAGCUCCUAGUCCUGCUUUCAUCAGUCUCAACCUGGCAGCUCCGCCUCCUGCCCCUGCAACUGAGAACUCAGCAAGCAUGAGGAGUGCUGCCCUUACAUGGAACCUCACAUCCCAGAAGAACAAUCCCCAGACACAAUCAUUCCCCAAAAAAGUUAAAUGAUCUGCACUGGGGAGGAAGCACAGACACAGUGGGCACAGCCUUAGGUACAGCACUGAUAUGAUGGAGAGGGCCCCCCUGUUUUACGUGCCCUGGGCCCCCCGAAGGCUUAAUCCGGCCCUGGAUGGAAGGCUGCACAUCCGUGCAGACUGACUCCCGUUGGAAGGAACACACACCGCCCACUGCUCUCCGCCCUGAUCAGGAAAUGCGACACACGCUACAGGAGGAACCGUCUCUCUCUAUCCACUGCAGGAGGAAUGUCUCUCUCUCUCUCUCUCCACUGCAGGAGGAACUGUCUCUCUCGCUCUCUCUCCACUGCAGGAGGAACUGUGUCAUCACCACACUCCUGAAGCUCCAGCACUAGAGGAUGUUGUUUUUUAAACUUGAAAAACGUCAUGAAACAAAAUAUCCAGACGGUGGAAUUGCUGAAGAGGAAGAAUCCACCGACAGAACUUCAAUGGAAAGAGAUCAUCUCGCUAAAACAGCCACACCGCAGGACUUCGAAUUAAGAGAUGCUGCUCCUAAUAAGGACCAAUUCAACAUCUGUCGUUUUUUAGUUUCCUGUAGAACCAGGAACUGGUCUGGCAGCAACUCCCUCAUCCUCUGGGACAAAACAGCAACUGCCUCCUGUGUGAUCAGCAAUGUGUUAUCUAGUUUUUGGGGGAGGGGACUUUCUCAUUUAUGAUGAGUCACUAGUCUAUUUGUAUAUGCUCCACAGGUUCAACCUUGAAGACAUCCAAAAGGGCUGGCCUGAGCUUCCUGUCCACUACCUGUUUGGAAUAUCUAUUGUUCUAAUAAAAGUGAUUUUACCUUUCAUACAUUUAAUCAUAACUAUUUGUUGCAAUGUCCUACAACUUAAUAACAAGUAUCAAAUGAAUCUACACAUUAAUCUGGUUGCUUAAAUACCAAAUAUGACAGGUGUAUCUGGCUUCAUUCAAAUAAUACACAUA